AGAGUUUGAUCAUGGCUCAGAAUCAACGCUGGCGGCGUGCCUAACACAUGCAAGUCGAACGAGAAAGGGGAGCAAUCCCUGAGUACAGUGGCGACCGGGUGAGUAACACGUGACUACCUACCCUUGAGUGGGGGAUAACCUCGGGAAACCGAGGCUAAUACCGCAUAAUAUCGAGAGAUCAAAGGAGCAAUCCGCUCUUGGAGGGGGUCGCGGCUGAUUAGCUAGUUGGUGAGGUAAUGGCUCACCAAGGCGAAGAUCGGUAUCCGGCCUGAGAGGGCGCACGGACACACUGGAACUGAAACACGGUCCAGACUCCUACGGGAGGCAGCAGUGGGGAAUUUUGCGCAAUGGGGGAAACCCUGACGCAGCAACGCCGCGUGGAGGAUGAAGCUCCUUGGAGUGUAAACUCCUUUCGACCGGGACGAUAAUGACGGUACCGGUGGAAGAAGCACCGGCUAACUCUGUGCCAGCAGCCGCGGUAAUACAGAGGGUGCGAGCGUUGUUCGGAAUUAUUGGGCGUAAAGGGCGCGUAGGCGGUGUUGUAAGUCACCUGUGAAACCUCUGGGCUUAACUCAGAGCCUGCAGGCGAAACUGCAAUGCUGGAGGGUGGGAGAGGUGCGUGGAAUUCCCGGUGUAGCGGUGGAAUGCGUAGAUAUCGGGAGGAACACCUGUGGCGAAAGCGGCGCACUGGACCACUACUGACGCUGAGGCGCGAAAGCUAGGGGAGCAAACAGGAUUAGAUACCCUAGUAGUCC
rnacentral:rRNA from 1 species